rnacentral:rRNA from 1 species
UACAGAGGUCUCAAGCGUUGUUCGGAUUCAUUGGGCGUAAAGGGUGUGUAGGUGGCGCCGUAAGUCGGGUGUGAAAUUUCGGAGCUUAACUCCGAAACUGCAUUCGAUACUGCGGUGCUUGAGGACUGGAGAGGAGACUGGAAUUCAUGGUGUAGCAGUGAAAUGCGUAGAGAUCAUGAGGAAGACCAGUGGCGAAGGCGGCUCACUGGUCCGGUACUGGACGCUGAGGUGCGAAAGCGUGGGGAGCAAACAGG